rnacentral:tRNA from 1 species
GAGGGUAUAGCUCAGUGGUAGAGUAUGUGCUUUGCAUGCCUGAGGUCUUGGGUUCAAUCCCUAGCUCCUCCA